AUGGCGCGGAAGAUGCUCAAGGACAGGGAGGCGCCCGCCGUCGCGUACGGCGGCGAGGAGAGCUACGACUACGACCUCUUCGUCAUCGGCGUCGGCAGCGGUGUCGUCCGCGGCUCCCGCACCGCCGCGGGAUUCGGAGCCAAGGUUGCGAUCUGCGAGCACCCGUUCCACCCUAUCAGCUCGGAUUGGCUGGGAGGACACGGCGGAACGUGCGUGAUACAUGGCUGUCUUUCGAAGAAGAUACUAGUGCAUCAAAGUUACAGUCUGCACCAUGUUGCUGGAAAAAGUUUCGGGUGCAGGACGCCAAGAAUUUCGGGUGGGAGAUCAAUGGGGACAUCAACUACAACUGGAAAAAGUUGCUGGAAAACAAGCACAAGGGUUCCAUGGGGAUACAACAGCAGCAGGACGACCAUGACUCCAUCAAUUGCAAGCUCCAGACUCGAAGGAGGCCCUAUGCAAGGCACCAAGGUGCAUGGUGCUCGCAAGCGACGAACGGAGGCUAUUCGACAUCGGCUACACAAACCACCAUUGAGCUCCAGGUCUAUGAAAUUUGAAGUUCGAAGCUCAUAG
rnacentral:rRNA from 1 species